GCAUCAAAGCCACGACUCCUGGAGGAAGGAGCCUCUCCUGGCCAGUUAGAAAGAGAAAGGUACUUUGGAGAUUGGGAAAUGCAGAACAGAUGGAGGCAAAGGGGAACCAACAUUCUCUGAGCCACGGAAGCGCUUCCUCCACCUUGUCUCUCCCUAAUCGAGUCUUCCCAGCAGCACCACAAGGUAGGAACUAUUAGCGAUGUUUCAGUGGAGGAAACUGAGGCACAGAGAAAUUAAAAGAUUCACCCAGGAUGACAUAGCUGGUGGAAUCCAGGCCUUGGGUCAGACUUGACUCCAAAACUGCCCUCAUCAGAAGUCAGGGAACUUAUCAGCGAGGCAUUUAUUGAGCAUCUACUGUGUUCCUAAGAUGAUGCUAAAGUGCUGAGACAGGAGUUCCUGCUGUGGCUUAAUGGGAUCGGCAGCAUCUCAGAGGCGUGGGGAGGUAUGUUCGAUCCCCAACCUGGCACAGUGGGUUGAUGCCAUGGCUGUGGCAUAGGUCGCAACUGCAGUUCGAAUCUGACCCCUGGCCUGGAAGCUCCAAAUGUUGAGGGGCAGCCACAAAAACAAAAAGAAGAAAAGGUGCUGGAACACAUAACAAAGGUAGAGCCCUUGCCUUCAGCCGUGAGCCAGGGAGUGGCCCAAGGAAGGGCUCCCUCAGUCUGCCUGGCAGGCUUCAUGGAGGAGGUGACCUUGGAGUGGACUUGAGCAGUGAGUGAUAAGCCUGGUGCAUAUAAGCAAGAGGAGACUGAUGUACUUUGGGCAAAGGCUUAGAGUCCUGGGGAUACAGGAGUUUAGGCUUUAAUACAGCAGCCCUGGGGACCCAUCAAAAAUUCUUGAGCAGGGGAGGGCCAUAAUCAGAUUUAUGUUUUACGUAUACAGGAAGGAUAGAGGCAGGAGGGGUAACGAAGAGAGCCUUGAUCAGAUGUGCGGGAGAGGUGAGCACCUAGGGUAAUUCCCCACGUGUCCCCUUUGUGGGUGAUGGAGUCUCACCAGGGUGAGCCUGUGGACGGGGAGCGGGGGAGGGGUGGUUCUUAGAGGGCGUCCAGGUGACAUCUGAGAGGACAGAAGGACAUCCGGGGAUGGAGCCUGGGACAUAGCGCUGGGCAGGAGGACACGACCAUCAGCAGCGUGUUUGGAGCUGUGGGAGUUCAUGACACUGAUAGGAACAGGUGGCAGAGACUGUUGGCUCUCACGGAAGCCCGUGUGUCUCUUCUUCCAGCUUGUGUUUUUGGAAACAGGUAGACCCAGUUCUCAGCCUCCCUUGCAGUUGGGUGAGAACGUGGGACUGAGUGCUACCCAAUGGGAAGUGAGUGCCUGGCCCAUAAAAACCUCCACAAGCCUGUUCUCAUCCUCUUUCCCUCUUGGCGGGCAGAAUGGAGACCUCAUGGGGCAAGCUGGGAAGACACGGGUUGCAGGUGGCGCCGUCCCAUCAGCCUGGGUGUCUGCAUGACUGUGGAAGAGGCCGCCCGUCACCCGCCAUCCCUGCCUGGGACUGUUGUGUGAGCGAGAGGGAAAUGACGAGGGUUGAACCACUCUCCGUUUUGGGGUCCACUGUAGCCAAAAUUCUAUUAUUUGGUAAAAGUAAUAGCAAGCGAGUAGUGAGACAACUUUGGAUGUGGUGAUAGCCAUAGAGAGGUAUCUGCUUUAAGCCUCAUAAUAACUCCAGGAAGAAGGUGCUCUUACUAACCCAUUUUACAAUUGAAGGGACAGGCCCAGAGAAGAGCUGUCCAAGGCCCAAGGUCACACAGGUAGUAAGUGGCAGAGGCAAGAUUCAAACCUAGAUUUACCUGAUUAAUACCUGGAAUCGAAAACAUUUUUACUUUGUUAGAUGUCCUUCCAGUAGAAAGGUCAUUCAGAUCCACUGCAAUGUCAAGCAUGACUGAAAUGACGGGAAAAAUCUUUAACCUUUGAACCCGAAACACCUCUGUCUCAACUGCAGCCAAAACCCAGACUGGGACUUGAACCCACGGUUUCUUUUAAUUAGAAUCACUCACCUAGUGUCUGGACUUACUGAGGCUCAGGUUCUUUGUGUCUCGGCACAGAAGGAAUUCGGUGAGAGGCAAGAAAUAGAUUUAUUAAGAAAGGAUGCUUGGGGAGUUCCUGUCGUGGCACAGCGGAAAUGAAUCCGACUAGGAACCGUGAGGUUGCAGGUUCGAUGCAUGGCCUCGCUCAGUGGGUUAAGGAUCCAGCUUUGCUGUGAGCCGUGGUGUAGGCCGGCGGCUACAGCUCUGAUUUGACCCCUAGCCUGGGAACUUCCAUACACCGUAGGUGCAGCCCUCAAAAAGGACAAAAAAAAAAAGAAAAAGAAAAAA
rnacentral:lncRNA from 1 species